UACGUAGGGGGCAAGCGUUGUCCGGAUUUAUUGGGCGUAAAGAGCGUGUAGGCGGCCAGGUAGGUCUGCUGUGAAAACUCGAGGCUCAACCUCGAGAUGUCGGCGGAAACCAUCUGGCUAGAGUCCGGAAGAGGAGAGUGGAAUUCCUGGUGUAGCGGUGAAAUGCGCAGAUAUCAGAAAGAACACCCGUGGCGAAGGCGGCUCUCUGGGACGGUACUGACGCUGAGGAGCGAAAGCGUGGGGAGCGAACAGG
rnacentral:rRNA from 1 species